UACGGAGGGUGCAAGCGUUAUCCGGAUUCACUGGGUUUAAAGGGUGCGUAGGCGGGUAUGUAAGUCAGUGGUGAAAUCCCCGAGCUUAACUCGGGAACUGCCAUUGAUACUAUAUAUCUUGAAUAUCCUGGAGGUCUGCGGAAUAUGUCAUGUAGCGGUGAAAUGCUUAGAGAUGACAUAGAACAUCGAUUGCGAAGGCAGCAGGCUACGGGAUGAUUGACGCUGAGGCACGAAAGCGUGGGGAUCAAACAGG
rnacentral:rRNA from 1 species